UACGGGGGGGGCGAAGCGUUGUUCGGAAUUACUGGGCGUAAAGGGCUCGUAGGCGGCCAACUAAGUCCGACGUGAAAUCCCCAGGCUUAACCUGGGAACUGCGUCGGAUACUGGAUGGCUUGAAUUCGGGAGAGGGAUGCAGAAUUCCAGGUGUAGCGGUGAAAUGCGUAGAUAUCAGGAGGAACACCGAUGGCGAAGGCAGGUCUCUGGGCUGACACUGACGCUCAUGCACGAAAGCGUGGGGAGCAAACAGG
rnacentral:rRNA from 1 species